AGAGUUUGAUCAUGGCUCAGGAUGAACGCUGGCGGCGUGCCUAACACAUGCAAGUCGAGCGGAGAUUUCCGAAGUAGAAAUGCGGCGGGGAUUUUAGCGGCGGACGGGUGAGUAACACGUGAGCAAUCUGCCUUUAGCAGGGGAAUAACAUUGUGAAAACAGUGCUAAUACCGCAUGACGUCCGGAGGGGGCAUCCUCUCGGGACCAAAGGAGAAAUCCGGCUGAAGAUGAGCUCGCGUCCGAUUAGCUAGUUGGUGAGGUAAAGGCCCACCAAGGCGACGAUCGGUAGCCGAACUGAGAGGUUGAUCGGCCACAUUGGGACUGAGACACGGCCCAGACUCCUACGGGAGGCAGCAGUGGGGAAUAUUGGGCAAUGGGGGAAACCCUGACCCAGCAACGCCGCGUGAAGGACGAAGGCCUUCGGGUUGUAAACUUCUUUGAUCAGGGACGAACAAUGACGGUACCUGAAGAACAAGCCACGGCUAACUACGUGCCAGCCGCCGCGGUAAUACA
rnacentral:rRNA from 1 species